AGGAGAGGAGAGCCGGCGCCGGGACUUCAAACAGGGAGCCAUUACAAGGCUACAGAGGAAGAUGGGACACCACACUGAUGAGUGAUAACACUAGCUAAAAACAACCACAAGAAAGAAAGAUGAUGGAGAAGGAAGUAUGUACAGUGCACCUGCACCAGUCAUGAGCUUGCCACCUGCAGUUUGAGCUUCGGUGGAUGGCAAGCGCUGGGUUUUUCAACAGGGCUACAAAGAACAUUAAUAUUGGAGAAACUGCUGGUUCCACUCCUACAUGUUUACAGGUUGCUGUGGGGAAGGAACAUUCAUUCAGUCUUGAUGGUCCCAUAUAUGAUAUCCAGCCUGGAGACUGAGUGGUGAUCAAGGUGUGGAACAAGAAACCCCUAGAACCAUCUUGGACAAAAC